UCGAAUAAUGUUAGACUUUAUUAAUGCGUAUUAAGGUAGCGACGGAUAGCAACCACGUGAUCAGUAAAAAUUGUGUAUUUUCACGUGAAUUCAUUUUCCGGAAUUCCUUACUCCGUCAUAGAAUAGUCGAAAAACAAAAAGGGGUUCCGAAAGUGUUUUGUUGCUGUGACUGACCUAGAGAAAAUCAGCACAUACCACAUAAGUAUACGUCAAUGUCUGUAAUAAUGGUAGAUCAAAUGUUUCAUCUGUGUGGAACUUUUUGCUAAUCGAAAUGUUAAACCAACCACCAAUCCAUGUACAUAGAUGCGCUAUGUAAACAAAGUUGUUGAUUGAUGCAUCGUAAUGUCCGAGUGCUGCAUGCUGAGAGAUUAAAUACUGUUUAUACAGUCAUUGAGAGGCUAAACAAAGUUUCUUGCAAGAAGAGGAAGUUGGUGGAUGCAUUCAACUUGGACAACGAAAUCAUAGUUUCGUUUGGCAUCAGCCUGAAGACCGAGGGAGGUUAGAUAGGACCAGUGCAGGUUGAAGUGGAUUUCGAGUCCACAAGUAUAACAGCAAGAGAGGUACUUUAUUUACAGUGAUGAUGACAUAUCCCCUGGACCCCCACAACUCCACAAAUUUAAAAAUGUUUGAUCAAGUUCCGAAGAUUAAAGAACUACUGCAAAAUUUGGGACUGGAUGAAAAACAUUAAUUCACUUAUAUGAGCUCAGAGCAGUGGAUGUUAUACAACAUACUUUAAACUAAAUUGUGAAUUUAAGGGAAAACAAGUACAUGUACUCGUAUAUUACAAGUGCAUGCCUUUUGAAAGACAAAAAUAUUACAUAGAUGUAAAGGAAAUUUCAAUGUUGAUUAUUCUUUCUUAGAUAUAUUAGUAAAAAUUGUGCACAUGAUAGAAUAUCAAUUUUAUAACUUCAAUCACUGUGUUUGAAUUUUCCUUGUAAUUCAAAAUUUAGUUGAAACAUACAUCAUAGAUACAUUAAUGUAUACCAAAUUUUUAGAAAAGUUUCAUAAUGGAACUAAUUCACCCCCCCCCCCCCCUAUACAUACAGUGAAUAUAGACCUUCACCUGGGGAAAACUUCAGUUAGUUAAUGCAAUAUACAUGUACAUGCAUUCUCAGUUAUCCAAUAGUGAGUUUUUGGUUCCAUGUGAAACCAUUAAAAAUCUUAAACUUAUGAAAGACACACCUAUCUGUGAGGGUAAGAUGACUCAGAUGGACUUAAAUGUAGUGAUCCAUGGGCAGUCCAUGGGUCUCUUUCCAUUGAUAUUAUUUAUUGAAAUAUGAAAUGGUUAUUUAAACAUAUUUGGUGUAUUAUACUGUAUAGUGAUAUAAAUUUCUAUCAAAAAAUAUGUAUAGGUAAUAGAUUUGGUCCAGUUAUUACAAGAAAUUGUAUGAAAAAUAACUAAAUAUUUAGGCAAUCAUUGUGAGUGCGAAAAGGUCAACUGCAAUAGCACACACUAUAUAUCAUUCUUAAAUGGCUCAUAGAAACUUCUAGUAUUGUGAGUUUGAAUGCUCAAUAUGGUAAUUUGGGAAUGCUUAAUCAUUUAAGGUCAAUAGUUUAUCUCUGCUGACUGUAUCUCUUAAAAUUCAUUUCUAGAAGGGAGGGGGUAGGGUUACAAAAUCUGACAUAGUUUCAGAUUAAACCUCAUUUGGUAUAUUUUUUUCUAUUCAAUAUUUUAGAUACUACUUGACUUAUUGUAAAAAUGAAAUAAAAUCAGAAAUUUUA